GAUGAACGCUGGCGGCGUGCCUAAUACAUGCAAGUCGAGCGAACAGACGAGGAGCUUGCUCCUCUGACGUUAGCGGCGGACGGGUGAGUAACACGUGGAUAACCUACCUAUAAGACUGGGAUAACUUCGGGAAACCGGAGCUAAUACCGGAUAAUAUAUUGAACCGCAUGGUUCAAUAGUGAAAGACGGUUUUGCUGUCACUUAUAGAUGGAUCCGCGCCGCAUUAGCUAGUUGGUAAGGUAACGUCUUACCAAGGCGACGAUGCGUAGCCGACCUGAGAGGGUGAUCGGCCACACUGGAACUGAGACACGGUCCAGACUCCUACGGGAGGCAGCAGUAGGGAAUCUUCCGCAAUGGGCGAAAGCCUGACGGAGCAACGCCGCGUGAGUGAUGAAGGUCUUCGGAUCGUAAAACUCUGUUAUUAGGGAAGAACAAAUGUGUAAGUAACUAUGCACGUCUUGACGGUACCUAAUCAGAAAGCCACGGCUAACUACGUG
rnacentral:rRNA from 1 species